UACGGGGGAGCAAGCGUUGUUCGGAUUACUGGCGUAAAGGGCGCGUAGGCGGCCACCGCAAGUCGGUUGUGAAAUCUCUGGGCUUAACCCAGAAAGGUCAACCGAUACUGCGGGCUAGAGUGCAGAAGGGCAACUGGAAUUCUCGGUGUAGCGGUGAAAUGCGCAGAUAUCGGGAGGAACACCGGUGGCGAAGGCGGUUCUCUGGCCUACCUGACGCUGAGGAGCGAAAGCGUGGGAGCGAACAGG
rnacentral:rRNA from 1 species